rnacentral:rRNA from 1 species
UACGUAGGGUGCGAGCGUUAAUCGGAAUUACUGGGCGUAAAGCGUGCGCAGGCGGUUUUGUAAGCCAGAUGUGAAAUCCCCGGGCUUAACCUGGGAAUGGCAUUUGGGACUGCAAGGCUGGAGUGUGGCAGAGGAGACUGGAAUUCCCGGUGUAGCAGUGAAAUGCGUAGAUAUCGGGAGGAAUACCAGAGGCGAAGGCGGCUACCUGGACAAUUGCUGACGCUCAGGCACGAAAGCGUGGGGAGCAAAAGGG